rnacentral:rRNA from 1 species
ACAGCAGUAGCCACGGUAAUACGUAGGGUGCAAGCGUUAAUCGGAAUUACUGGGCGUAAAGCGUGCGCAGGCGGUUUGUUAAGACAGAUGUGAAAUCCCCGGGCUCAACCUGGGAACUGCAUUUGUGACUGGCAAGCUAGAGUGUGGCAUAGGGGGGUGGAAUUCCGCGUGUAGCAGUGAAAUGCGUAGAUAUGCGGAGGAACACCGAUGGCGAAGGCAGCCCCCUGGGCCAACACUGACACUGAGGCACGAAAGCGUGGGGAGCAAACAGGAUUAGAUACCCCAGUAGUCCCUGUCUCUUAUAC